rnacentral:rRNA from 1 species
UGCGUAGGCGGCGCGGUAAGUCGGGUGUGAAAUCUCGGAGCUUACUCCGAAACUGCAUUCGAUACUGCCGUGCUUGAGGACUGGAGAGGAGACUGGAAUUUACGGUGUAGCGGUGAAAUGCGUAGAUAUCGUAAGGAAGACCAGUGGCGAAGGCGGGUCUCUGGACAGUUCCUGACGCUGAGGCACGAAGGUCAGGGGAGCAAACG